rnacentral:rRNA from 1 species
CCUACGGGUGGCUGCAGUGGGGAAUAUUGGACAAUGGGCGAAAGCCUGAUCCAGCCAUGCCGCGUGUGUGAAGAAGGCCUUCGGGUUGUAAAGCACUUUCAGUGGGGAAGAAAGCCUUGGGGCUAAUACCCUCGAGGAAGGACAUCACCCACAGAAGAAGCACCGGCUAACUCCGUGCCAGCAGCCGCGGUAAUACGGAGGGUGCGAGCGUUAAUCGGAAUUACUGGGCGUAAAGCGCGCGUAGGCGGUCUGAUAAGCCGGUUGUGAAAGCCCCGGGCUCAACCUGGGAACGGCAUCCGGAACUGUCAGGCUAGAGUGCAGGAGAGGAAGGUAGAAUUCCCGGUGUAGCGGUGAAAUGCGUAGAGAUCGGGAGGAAUACCAGUGGCGAAGGCGGCCUUCUGGACUGACACUGACGCUGAGGUGUGAAAGCGUGGGUAGCAAACAGGAUUAGAUACCCGUGUAGUC